CCUGCCUCUUUAUUUAUAGGUCUUGGUUUCUUAAGAGAAAUGUAACCAAGGACCUGGAAAACAAAUACUACUGCAAUGUUUGGCAGUGAGUGUUUGUGUAAAGGAAAAAGUGGACUGAAACUCAUUAAUACUGUUUGGUCCUAUGGCAGAUAAGUUUAAUAGACUGUGUAUGAGGGAAGACAUGGAAUUGAUGGCUAUCAGACUGAAUG